AUGGAGGAGGAAGACUGUGGAAUGCAUGGCAAGUGGGCUGUCACUUGGAUCACCAUCGGGAAGCCCAAGGUGCAGGUGGAAGAGGAGCAGAGGAGCUCCGAGAUGAAGAGGGCGGAGGACAGCGCGGACCAGGCCGAGGCCCAGCACGCAGAGGCCCAGAAGAAGCAGAAGAUCAUCGACCGGGUGAUCUCCGUGCUGGAAAACAGCCCCAACAGACACCGCAAGCGCAUGGCGAUAGUGCUGUGCCAAAGGGGGAUGAGGCAGAGGGACAGCGGCGACCUGAAGCCCAAAGCCGAGCCUGAGCUGCAGCCCAACCCUGAGCCCCAGCCUGAUCCUGUGGAGAAGCCUGCGCCUGGGGCUGACAGCGCGGCCUCAGGGCCCCCCCCAGCUGCCUCGGCCUCCACCUAGGGAGUGGACCCAGGAGGCGGAGAAGCACAGGGCCCAGGAACUGGGGGGAGGGGACAGGGGAAGGGAUGUUGGCCUCAUGGAGACCAAGUGUGGACAAUAAAGCACCGUCAAGACACGAAAGGGGGCCUCUGUGUGCAUUUCUGCCCAUUCCCUGAGGGCUGUGAAGGAAGGAAGG
rnacentral:lncRNA from 1 species